rnacentral:rRNA from 1 species
UUUAAAUGUAAAAAUAAUAUAUAAAGAAUUAUUUGAUUUGUUCAAUAAAUUUAAUAGAUUUGGCGGUAUUUUAAAUUUUUAGGGGAACUUGUAUUAUAAUUGAUAUUCCACGAUUGGAUUUACUUUAAUUAAUUAAUUUAUGUAUUGUCGUUUAAAUAAAAAUUUUUUAAAAUAAUUUUUGUAAUUUUUUAUUAAAAAAAAAUUCAGAUCAAAAUGUAGUUUAUAUUAAAGAAAAUUAUGAGUUACAAUAAAUUUUAUUUUAUGAAUAAUAUAUUUAAUUUAUUUUUGAAAUUGGAUUUAAAAGUAAAAUAUAUUUUAAUAAUAUUUUUGAAUAAUUAUUGAAAUAUGU